rnacentral:rRNA from 1 species
UACGUAGGGUGCAAGCGUUAAUCGGAAUUACUGGGCGUAAAGCGUGCGCAGGCGGUUCGCCAAGACAGAUGUGAAAUCCCCGGGCUUAACCUGGGAACUGCAUUUGUGACUGGCGGGCUAGAGUAUGGCAGAGGGGGGUAGAAUUCCACGUGUAGCAGUGAAAUGCGUAGAGAUGUGGAGGAAUACCGAUGGCGAAGGCAGCCCCCUGGGCCAAUACUGACGCUCAUGCACGAAAGCGUGGGGAGCAAACAGG